rnacentral:lncRNA from 1 species
AUAGCCUGCGCUAGAUUUUCUCCUCAAUUAUAGUAUUUAAUUUGAAACAUAUACUUUGCUACAUCUAAUCUCUAUUGGGUCUCGGUGGUCAUCCAGACAAGUUUGCUCAUACAACGGUGUGGUAUUGCUGAGAGAGCACUGACUUGGACCUGUCGUACAUGUCACCCCCAUGCAUCUCUCUUCUCUCCCACCUCACUGAUGGCCAUGGCCGCUUGACGCAAUUUAAUUUGUUGUGAAGGGCCACGUACUACUUUAGCACUUAGUUUUUAUAUAUGAGUUGAAUGCCAUCAAAUCAUCAAAGUCAAAGGUUAGCCUAUAUUCCUACAUGUGUCAGCACUCGAGCUCAAUGCAACUCGAUGCAUGAUUACGAAUCGUGCUGCAUUUCUGUGUUCCUGAUGGAUCUCGUGAACUACUAGCACCCAUAUAGGACGAGCUACUACGUAUAGCAUUGCAUUUGCAGAGGCACGUACUACCUGCAACGGGCCAACGGGGCAGAUGAAUAAAACUGCGAAAAAAAAAAAUGGCAGCUUUCUUGAGCCAAGCACCCAACCGUUUCCAUGCAUGACCGUCGGCAGUCGGCACGGC